rnacentral:sRNA from 12 species
GUGAGCGGUUAGAAGCUCGCUGGGGAUAACGCCAGAGGUGCUGUCACCUCACCCGUUAAGUCGGUCGGCCCCCAGGACGCCUCUAGCCGCUCAU